rnacentral:rRNA from 1 species
AACGUAGGAGACAAACGUUAUCCGGAGUUACUGGGCGUAAAGGGCGUGUAGGCGGUUUGUUAAGUCUGGCGUGAAAGCUCUCGGCUAAACCGGGAGAGGUCGUUGGAUACUGGCAAACUAGAGGACGGUAGAGGCAGGUGGAAUUCCGGGUGUAGCGGUGGAAUGCGUAGAGAUCCGGAAGAACACCGGUGGCGAAGGCGGCCUGCUGGGCAGUAGCUGACGCUGAGGCGCGACAGCGUGGGGAGCAAACAGG